AGGUCAUUUGGCCAUUUCACAACAGAGGCCAUUCGGCCGAUGAGGAUAUGCUGCCAAUUUCAGCCCCAAAAUCCCUAAUAUAACUCCGAUCUCGAUGGAGGAAGUAGGGACUUCGAUGGCGCGUUCGCAAAGCCACAACAAAAGAGAAAAAAAAAUACAAAGUUUUUUGGUUGGUUUUUGCUCUUGCUGCUGUGUUUGUCUGUUUCUUCGCAAGUAUGGAGGCUAGUUGGCGCUGUGGUAUGUGGCGCUUGGCGUGGGGUGGUGCGUGAAGGCCGUAUGGAAGCGCUGGAGGCUGUAUGAGGGUUGGGAGGCCAGCUGGGCGCAAGGGAAACCCUAGUUUCUAUUUCUAAAAUAUUUUGGGCCAUUUGGGCUUUGAAUUUUUGGGCUGGGUAGUUGGGUUUAGAAUUGGGUUAUUGUAAAUGGGUUUGGACUUUGUUGGGCCAUUGAAAUUUGGCAGAUUUGGGCUGAUGUAAUAAAGGGACUUGGACUAAAAAAA